rnacentral:tRNA from 1 species
GAGGAGGCACUACACAAUAAGAACUGCUAAUUCCCACCACCGAGGCUAAUCCUUCGGCCUCCUCA